AAAAGAACCCCGGCGAGGGGAGUGAAAAAGAACCUGAAACCGUGUACGUACAAGCAGUGGGAGCACAGAGCAAUCUGUGUGACUGCGUACCUUUUGUAUAAUGGGUCAGCGACUUAUAUUCUGUAGCAAGGUUAACCGAAUAGGGGAGCCGAAGGGAAACCGAGUCUUAACUGGGCGUUAAGUUGCAGGGUAUAGACCCGAAACCCGGUGAUCUAGCCAUGGGCAGGUUGAAGGUUGGGUAACACUAACUGGAGGACCGAACCGACUAAUGUUGAAAAAUUAGCGGAUGACUUGUGGCUGGGGGUGAAAGGCCAAUCAAACCGGGAGAUAGCUGGUUCUCCCCGAAAGCUAUUUAGGUAGCGCCUCGUGAAUUCAUCUCCGGGGGUAGAGCACUGUUUCGGCAAGGGGGUCAUCCCGACUUACCAACCCGAUGCAAACUGCGAAUACCGGAGAAUGUUAUCACGGGAGACACACGGCGGGUGCUAACGUCCGUCGUGAAGAGGGAAACAACCCAGACCGCCAGCUAAGGUCCCAAAGUCAUGGUUAAGUGGGAAACGAUGUGGGAAGGCCCAGACAGCCAGGAUGUUGGCUUAGAAGCAGCCAUCAUUUAAAGAAAGCGUAAUAGCUCACUGGUCGAGUCGGCCUGCGCGGAAGAUGUAACGGGGCUAAACCAUG
rnacentral:rRNA from 1 species